rnacentral:rRNA from 1 species
GAUGAACGCUGGCGGCGUGCCUAAUACAUGCAAGUCGAGCGAAUGGAUUAAGAGCUUGCUCUUAUGAAGUUAGCGGCGGACGGGUGAGUAACACGUGGGUAACCUGCCCAUAAGACUGGGAUAACUCCGGGAAACCGGGGCUAAUACCGGAUAACAUUUUGAACCGCAUGGCUCGAAAUUGAAAGGCGGCUUCGGCUGUCACUUAUGGAUGGACCCGCGUCGCAUUAGCUAGUUGGUGAGGUAACGGCUCACCAAGGCAACGAUGCGUAGCCGGCCUGAGAGGGUGAUCGGCCACACUGGGACUGAGACACGGUCCAGACUCCUACGGGAGGCAGCAGUAGGGAAGCUUCCGCAAUGGACGAAAGUCUGACGGAGCAACGCCGCGUGAGUGAUGAAGGCUUUCGGGUCGUAAAACUCUGUUGUUAGGGAAGAACAAGUGCUAGUUGAAUAAGCUGGCACCUUGACGGUACCUAACCAGAAAGCCACGGCUAACUACGUGCCAGCCGCCGCCGUAA